AUGCUGGAGAAUUCAUUUCUAAUAGAUACUCGAAUGAAAAAAUUCGAUACCAUAGUCCCCGCUACUCUCCUCAUAGGAUACUUAUCAAAAGCUCAAUUUUGUACUGGAUCGGGGCAUCCUAUUAGUAAACCCAUAUAAACAAAACCAACCCUGGUCAGUCUACAGCCCAGUUGA
rnacentral:rRNA from 1 species